rnacentral:pre_miRNA from 15 species
CAGGAAGGCCCUUCUUCGGCCGUCGGAGGCAAAGUUCUGGGACACUCAGACUCUGAUUAGGAUAGAAGUCAGUGCACUACAGAACUUUGUCUCCGGAGGCUGCACUCCGCCGCGGCCCCC